GCUCAACCGAGGAAGUGCUUCGAAAACUGGUAAACUUGAGUGCAGAAGAGGAAAGUGGAACUCCAUGUGUAGCGGUGGAAUGCGUAGAUAUAUGGAAGAACACCAGUGGCGAAGGCAGCUUCCUGGUCUGUAACUGACGCUGAGAUUCGAAAGCAUGGGUAGCAAACAGGAUUAGAUACCCUGGUAGUCCAUGCCGUAAACGAUGAGUGCUAAGUGUUGGAGGGUUUCCGCCCUUCAGUGCUGCAGCUAACGCAUUAAGCACUCCGCCUGGGGAGAACGAUUGCAAGAUUGAAACUCAAAGGAAUUGACGGGGGCCCGCACAAGCGGUGGAGCAUGUGGUUUAAUUCGAAGCAACGCGAAGAACCUUACCAGGUCUUGACAUACCAUGAAAAGCUAAGAGAUUAGUCUUUCCCUUCGGGGACAUGGAUACAGGUGGUGCAUGGUUGUCGUCAGCUCGUGUCGUGAGAUGUUGGGUUAAGUCCCGCAACGAGCGCAACCCUUAUUAUCAGUUGCCAGCAUUCAGUUGGGCACUCUGGUGAGACUGCCGGUGACAAACCGGAGGAAGGUGGGGACGACGUCAAAUCAUCAUGCCCCUUAUGACCUGGGCUACACACGUGCUACAAUGGUCGGUACAACG
rnacentral:rRNA from 1 species